CAACAGGGAUUGCCUUAGUAACGGCGAGUGAAGCGGCAACAGCUCAAAUUUGAAAUCUGGCCCUUUUAGGGUCCGAGUUGUAAUUUGCAGAGGGCGCUUUGGCUUUGGCAGCGGUCCAAGUUCCUUGGAACAGGACGUCACAGAGGGUGAGAAUCCCGUACGUGGUCGCUAGCUAUUGCCGUGUAAAGCCCCUUCGACGAGUCGAGUUGUUUGGGAAUGCAGCUCUAAAUGGGAGGUAAAUUUCUUCUAAAGCUAAAUAUUGGCCAGAGACCGAUAGCGCACAAGUAGAGUGAUCGAAAGAUGAAAAGCACUUUGGAAAGAGAGUCAAACAGCACGUGAAAUUGUUGAAAGGGAAGCGCUUGCAGCCAGACUUGCUUGCAGUUGCUCAUCCGGGCUUUUGCCCGGUGCACUCUUCUGCAGGCAGGCCAGCAUCAGUUUGGGCGGUGGGAUAAAGGUCUCUGACACGUUCCUUCCUUCGGGUUGGCCAUAUAGGGGAGACGUCAUACCACCAGCCUGGACUGAGGUCCGCGCAUCUGCUAGGAUGCUGGCGUAAUGGCUGUAAGCGGCCCGUCUUGAAACACGGACCAAGGAGUCUAACAUCUAUGCGAGUGUUUGGGUGUCAAGCCCGAGCGCGUAAUGAAAGUGAACGGAGGUGGGAACCCGCAAGGGCGCACCAUCGACCGAUCCUGAAGUUUACGGAAGGAUUUGAGUAAGAGCAUGGCUGUUGGGACCCGAAAGAUGGUGAACUAUGCUUGAAUAGGGUGAAGCCAGAGGAAACUCUGGUGGAGGCUCGCAGCGGUUCUGACGUGCAAAUCGAUCGUCAAAUUUGGGCAUAGGGCGAAAGACUAAUCGA
rnacentral:rRNA from 1 species